GAUGAAGAACGUAGCGAAAUGCGAUAAGUAAUGUGAAUUGCAGAAUUCAGUGAAUCAUCGAAUCUUUGAACGCACAUUGCGCCCGCCAGUAUUCUGGCGGGCAUGCCUGUUCGAGCGUCAUUUCAACCAUCAAGCCCCCGGGCUUGUGUUGGGGACCUGCGGCUGCCGCAGGCCCCGAAAACCAGUGGCGGGCUCGCUGUCACCCCGAGCGUAGUAGUUUACACCUCGCCCAGGGCGUGCCGCGGGUUCCCGGCCGUUAAACCCCCCCAUACCACAAGGUUGACCUCGGAUCAGGUAGGAAGACCCGCUGAACUUAAGCAUAUCAAAAGCGGAGGA
rnacentral:misc_RNA from 1 species